UACGUAGGCAGCAAGCGUUGUUCGGAAUUACUGGGCGUAAAGAGUGCGUAGGCGGUUCCGCAAGUUUGUCGUGAAAUCUCCCGGCUUAACUGGGAGGGUGCGGCGAAAACUGCGGGGCUGGAGUGUGGGAGAGGUAAGCGGAAUUCCUGGUGUAGCGGUGAAAUGCGUAGAUAUCAGGAGGAACACCGGCGGUGUAGACGGCUUCUGGACCAUGACUGACGCUGAGGCACGAAAGCGUGGGGAGCGAACAGG
rnacentral:rRNA from 1 species